CUGCCACUAACUCCGGCGGCCCUUUCCGGCCACCUCCGGGGAUCAAAAAUAUGGUUUCUGUACAUUUUCAGAUUCUAUAUUUCAAUACGAUCAUUUCGAUAUAUUAUACGCAAUUUUUGGAUAUCGUAUGAUUAAGUUAUGAAUUUUUAAGUUUAGAUCGAUUUCGAUCGUUAGAUUUGUGAUCUGUGAAGUUAGGACCGUCAGAUGGACUUGUAGUUUUGAUAUGAUGAUCUUAUGACUGUCCCAGUGGCUUUGUGUGGUCAUGGGCGAAGAUCCGACCGUUGGAUCUUCGUAUAAAUGCAAAACAGUGAUUAGGAAGGCGAUCCGUGAGGAUCCGACCGUUGGAUCAUCAUUUAAUUUCAAUCCGACCGUUGGAUUGUCGUUUGAUUAUGUUUUUGAGUUAUUGGCUAAGUUAAGGUCAUGUUUGAUUAGGUGAUUGACGGUUUGAGUUGGCGGACGAUUGUGAAUCGUAUUUUGAGCUGUUAAGAAGACGCAGCGGGAUUAGAGGUGAUUGACGGUUUGAGUUGGCGGACGAUUGUGAAUCGUAUUUUGAGCUGUUAAGAAGACGCAGCGGGAUUAGAGCGGGUAAUCCUACAGGUCAGGAGAACCAGGACGGUGAUCGGGCUGCUUAGAGUAGUGUUAUGUGAAUUACAACAUUAUAUUGUGAGGUUUGUUAUGCUCAUUUAGAGCUUUACGAUUUUACUUUGUAAGAGUGAAUUGUAAUAAUUAACUCGAGGUUUUUCGAGUUUUGUGUUGA